AGACAUAGUGCCACUGUCAUCCCUGCUGGAGAAGGUCCGAAGCACCUCCACCUCUGUGCUUCCAGAGGGGCACUGUGGUGGCCACUUAAAAUGCUCAGGCUAUACCAUGCACUAGAGCAUCUACCUGGGCAAGGGAUAUGCUGUAUGACACUCUCCUGAUGCUGGGCAUGGCUGUGAGCCAAAGCACCCAGGCAGCCCUGCCAUCAGAAGGGUAAACCACGGACACCUGAUGCCUUCCUGAAGGAAGAGCACUACGCCUGCCAAACCAUCAAGCGUUGAUGCUCCAGCGCCUUCUACCCGUGGUUCUCCAGCCUCAGCAGAAGAGAGAGAAAUUGAUGACCCUGUCGUUGUAGCAUCCCCAUCACCCAGCAAUUAAUUUUAGUUCAAUGCUUCAAACGCUCUUCAGGCGCAGUGUGCGUUCAGCUGUGUCAGCUAAUGCAAAUGGGGGAUCUCAGAAGUCUUAAUGAAGUAACUAUCCCUGAACACUGGGAUCAAUACUCAGCAUCCAGCUGUCAAAUCAACACCAAGCGUUUCACUCGUCGCCCAGCCUAGAGUGCAAUGGCGCUAUUUCGGCUCAUUAUAACCUCCGCCUCCCGGGUUCAAGCAAUUCUUCUGCUUCAGCGUCCCAAGUAGCUGGGAUUACAGGUGAGCACCAUCAUGCCUGGCUAAUUUUGUAUUUUUAGUGGAGAUGGGGUUUCACCAUACUGGCCAGGCCGGUUUCAAACUCCUGACCUCAGGCGAUCCGCCCUCCUUGGCCUCCCAAAGUGCUGGGAUUACAGGGAUGAGCCACCACCGCGCCCGGCCUUGAUGUACUUUUUCUAUUAAAUGAUCUAAGAACAAUUUUACGGGCAGAAAGUAUGACUGUAAUAAAUGUAUGCAAUCCAAAACUACCACCCACCAUCUAUGAAAAUACAAAAAUCAAGCUGUCAUGCCAAAUCUAACUGGUUACUUCUGUUUCUCUGCUAAUAGUCGUUAGCUACACUCAUUUAUUUGUUUUAUUGUGACAGUGUCCACUGUCAGAUAAGUAAGAGCAGGUGCUGAAAUUUUAAGAAACAUUUGAGGGAACAUUUUCAAUGGAAUCUGUUGAAGUUGAGGUGCCUUUAGUACACUAGUAUAACUGCAUCACCCCUGAGUGUUAGCGAUAAGUGCAAUGAUUUAAUUUUACUGUGGAACUCCCAAGUCCAGCUUAUGGAAUAAAUUCCGGAUCAUAGUUUGAGAACUACUGGCUUAAAGGGUCCCAUUUCUUGCUUCUUUAAGUGUCAAACAGUGACUGUGAGAUAUAUAUAUAUAUAUAUAUAUAUAUUCCUGGCCCAAGUGAUGGGCAAGCUUCAAAGCAGUUGAGGACUCCAGUCAAAACUAACUGUGCCCCCUGAGUGUUCUAGCUCUGAGGAUUUGGUCCCUGGCUUCUUCCUUCAAUCUGCACCAUCAAGAAGCAUUCUUGGCCAGGUGCAGUGCCUCACACCUGUAAUCCCAGCACUUUGGGAGGCCGAAGUGGGUGGGUCACUUGAGGUCAGGAGUUUGAGACCAGCCUGGCCAACAUGGUGAAACCUCAUCUCUAACUAAAAAUACCAAAAUUAGCUGGGAGUGAUGGCCUAUGCCUGUAAUCCCAGCUACUCAGGAGGCUGAGGCACAAGAACUGCUUGAACCUGGUAAGAGGAGGUUGCAGUGAGCCGAGAUCAUACCACUGCACUCCAGCCUGGCCAACUGAACGAGACUCUGUCUCAGAGAAAGAAAAAAAGAAAAAAAAUCUUCUAGGCUCUGCACAUAGGCCAUGUGCUAAAAUCAGCAUUCCAAGGGCCAGAAGGACUCCUAGAGGCAUCUUUCAGAUGCUGACACUAGUUCAGAGCCUCACAGAUAGCUCCAGUUUCUGCCUAAGUACCUUCAGGGACUGGGAGCUCACUACUUCCCCCAAAAAAGGUUCUUAUGAACCAUCAUCUCCUAUCUCCACCCUCUAAAACCACCCAGUUCUUAACUUCUGCUUUGUUUUUGCUAUCAGCACUCUCUGCCUUGUAUUGUUGUUAUUUGGAUACUUAACUGUCACACAGUGGUAAGGGCUUAGGUUUUGGAACCACUUGCAUUAGAAUCCCAGCUCCGUAUUUAUCUCCACCAUUUACCAGCCAUGUGACCUUGGCAAAUUACUUAACCUCUCUGAGCCUCAGUUAUCGCCUAUAUGGGAUGGGAAUAACCUUAGGGUCUAUUUCAAGGAUUAUUCGGAGGCCUAAGGUAAUGGGAGGAAUCUGCUUGACAUGUAGAAAGCUCUCAGUACAGCAUAGAUAUUAUUAUUAUUCCUCUGCUAGACUACAAAAUCUCUGAGGGCAGGGACCUCUUCUUGGAUAUCUUUGAACCCCUCCAUAACAGUGGGCAAAGUGUCUGUCAGAGGGUUUUAAUGAAUGCAUCACACAAAAGAGACCGUACUGAACAAGAGAGACAGGAAGCUUGGAUAAUUAUUUGAAUAUCUACAGUCAUCAGAAGGCUUAUAAAUGUAAAGCCAAAGCUCCUGCCAAAGAAAUGUGUGGAGCAGAAAAGAAAACCCAGAGCAGAAUGUCAAGAGCAAGGAUGUGUUGGGACAGGAAAUGAAGACGAGAUUGGGAGAGGUCAUGCAGAAUCAGGUCACAUUCUGGAGGGAAGAAGGAGCAAAGGCACAUGAUGAGAGAGUGCUAAUUAAGGUGGCCAAAGAGAACAGUGUGGUGCUGUAAAUGCCGGCAGAGCAAGGAGCCCUGCUGCCAGCCUGACCCAACACAGUCACGUUGAUGAAAAUGGAAAAGGAUGGCUGGAGGCCUUCAGUUGCAAAGUUCUCCAUUGUCAGAUUACGCUGCCUGAUGGGCAUGAAAAGUCCACAAAAGAGAAUUUUCUGAUGUGAGAAUGGAGGGUGUUGCCUGCAACUACCCCAGAUCCCUGCGGUGGCAGUUUAAGCCGCCUCCUGGAGCAGAUUGUUAAGCUGAUGCGAGUCUGGGCUCUGCCUCACCACUUGUCUCAGAGGAAAGACCUGAUGUCAUAUGGAAGCCAAGAAGAAACUCUUGUCCAAUUUGUAGGGAAAGCAGAGAGACAGAGAGACAGAGAGAGCUUCAGCUUGGUUUCAAAACAAGGAUGGAAAUACAGAACAACUUAAGUUACCAGCACACUUCAUAACAAUUAAAAAUCAUCUCGCUUCUUCCUUCUGCCAGCAUAAUUUUGGGCUCACAGGUGGAUUGACCUGACCUCCAAGAAAUGUGUGACAAGGACUCGCCCCUUACCUCCUCAGUUACAGCACGUUUGGUGUUUAUGUGAAGCUGGUGGCUUUCAGUAUCAUGGUGAAAAUUUUCUUUUAGGUCAUAAUUGCUUAACUACAAUGAAAAGUAUUGAUUUUGGAAAAGGCUCAUCUUCCCAAAGAGGUUCACUUCAGGAGGUGAAUUAAUGUGCUCCAGGGACAGUCAUGGAAAAUGCUUGGCCACACUGGCCGUGUUCUGUAGCCAGGCAUUGCUGAACAGUGCAGAGAAAGGCGCUGGAGGCAGACAGAGCUGGGCUGGAAGCCAGGCUCCACUUCAUACCAGAAGUAUGAGCCCGGGCAAGUUAUUGAACUUCUACAGCUUAGUUUACGUAGCUGUGAAAAUGGAUGAAUAAUGCCUGCUUGUGCUGUUGUUAGGGAGGGGACGCCUGCUUGGAGGCGAGUAUGCAGUAGGUGCUCAGUGAGUGGUGAUGAGAUAAAAAGCAAUGCUGCUCAUUUUCUAUAUUUCUCUUUUCAUACUUAUUGAGAUUACAAUGGAGAGAAGGGACACCAGCUUAAAAGAAAACAUUUGCAAAUCUGUUUCUGAUAAAUGGAAAUGAGAGCAACUGUAAACCACAUGAGUCUGUCCAGGACAGAAGAGAGUGAGUGAAGGAAGGCUUUCUCAGCUGGGUGGUUAUGUGAGCAGCGCCUCUACUGCCUCUCUGUUAAGUAAUUUAUCUGGACAUCUUGAUUGAUAAUGAUGUGGCACUAAAAAACGAAAAGGCAUCACAAAACUGCAAACCCUCUGCUUGCACUGUGGGAAUAAAAUUGGUCACGAAAAGGUGAUGGCCACAAAAAUCUGGUGGCGGGGUGGGGGGCGGGGGGUGCGGGGAAUAGAAAAUCUUACAUAAUAUCUAUUCCUGUGUUAUUUUUUUAAAAUCAGUUUAUACAGUCUAAUUUUUAAAAACAAAAGCUAGAUUUUAGCUCUUCUCAAUCCAGUGAUUUGAAAUCAGCCUGAAGAGAGCAAGGUGCAUUGAAUUUGCUAUGACAUCAACCGAAUUUGUCAAUUUCAUUUGGAUUUCCAGAAUGUCCAGUGCUAGGAGACUCAUAAGUUGGAGAGAAACGGCCUGAUUUAUAGAAACUGAGCGAGACUCCGGACCACCUGAUGCAGAGAAACCUGUGACCUGAAAAAGUCUAUUUGUGUUUCCUCUAGGAAUCUCGGCCAAGAAGACAGGGACAAGCUCCCAACUCUGACUACCCCUUUUACAGGGAAAAAAAAAAAAUCCCGUGCCUUCUUUGCAGCAAGUGACAAAUCCUUGUCAUAUCGAGAUGGCUUUUCCUCCUCCUCUUCAAACAUCUUUUAGCAGCAACAGCAGCUCAAGUAACUGGAAUUAUUUCAGAGUUAAAAUGCAGGCUUUGUAGACCCUCUUAGACAGACAGAUUCAAUUUCAAAGGAAACUUCUUUGGCUGGGUACUCAGUGAGUGUUACACAGGGAUUUGGGGAGUUAAUAUUCACUGUUUCUGUUGUUGGAGAAAAGGAAAGCAGAGUUGCUCUUUCUCAUUACUCUCCCCAACGCACAUCUGUUUCCUCUCGUAUCUUGGAAUUAGGAAGAUGGAGGAGACUUAAGUGGUGACCCACCUAGCCUCCUGAUGCAUGCUGGGCUCACUUUAAAACUCCCAAAACAGAUGGCAGUUGAUCACGGUUUUAAAGAUCCCAGCAUAGACUUUCUGCAGCCUCCCUUGUUAGCCACUAUCAGCGCUUAACAUUCUGUCAUCUGAAUAACUCCUUAAAAAUGAUAGCAAUGGUAGUAGAAAUUUAAAAGGAACCUCCCAAAAAACAUGCAAAAGCUUACCACCCCAGUAAAUCACCCGCAACAAUGUCGCAACAGUUUAAAUUUACUGCAGAGAGAGCUGAAGUUUAGGAGACACAGCUUUAUAAUAUUUUUGAGAGAUAGUUGAGUGCAAAUGAGUCCUGUUCCUCUUGCAUCAGGGCCUGCUCCACUGAGUCAUCCUGCCUUCAGAAGCUUCCAGCUAAGUGGCAGGCCCCGGCCAUAGGCUCCCUGUGUCCCCAGCCUCCAGAGAACACACAAUGUUCUCAUCGCCCUUAGCUCCAUUCCAGAAGGGGCCUGCAGUUCUGCAGCUUAUCAGGGGUCUACUGGGAAGUGAGAUGUCACUGUCCCUUUCUGGCCCUGCAUUGUCUGUGAGUGGCUCUCCUGGAUUAAGAGUUGGCAAAGUAUGGCCAGUGGCCAGGACUGGCCUGCUGCCUGUUUUUGUUUAACCCGUGAGCUAAGAAUAGUUUUUACCUAUUUUAAGUAGUUGAAAAAAAAAUCAAGAGAAGAAUACUAUUUCGUGAUAUGUGAAAAAUCACAUGAAAUUCAAAUGUAAGUGUCCAUAAAUAAAGUCUUACUGGAAGACAGCCUUGCUCAUUUAUUUCUGUCUCAUUCGCUACUGUCUGCGGCUGCCUUCACGCUACAAUGGCAGUACUGAGUAGUUGUGACGGGCACUGUAUGACAGCAAAUCCUAAAGUAUUUGCCAUCUGGCCCUUCACAGAAAAAGUUUGCUGACCCUGGCUUUCGAGCCUCUCAUCACUUUGGGAUUCAUCUCUUUACUUUCCCCAGAGUGAGGGAGGCAGUAACGUUCCUCGUGAGUGCUUAGUCCUUGCUCCCAAGGCAAUAAACCCCCCAAAACCCCUCUCUUUCUGCAGUCUUCUUGUUGGCUUGAUAGUGGUAGGGCUGGUUCAGCCAAGGUCACAGUUGGAGGGCAGGAAGGGGGUACAGCGAAGGACGACGGGGGUGUCUUCUCUAGUCCUGUUUGCAGCAAUCUUUAGAAUGCAAAAUAAUUAAGAAGAAACUGCUGUUUUUUGGCUGUGGGAUGCAAUUCGAAUUCUGGAAAAUUAGAAUCAACAGAACGUGGGAUGUGGGAGUCCAGGACAACUCCCCUGUUUUGGCUGUGUUUGGUGCCAUGUGUGGAGGUGGGAGAGAUGGGAGAAAGAAGAGGUUUGGGCAGGGGGAGGGAAGAAUCAAGAUUCUGCUUUGAAUGGACGAAGGUUGUGGUUUGUUGAGAGGACAACUAGAUAACUGGCCACUUGAAGAUGGGAUGGAAGUCUGAAUCUGCAAGGAGUCACAGAUGAAUGGUAUGGAAAGCUGUGGUAGUGGAUGAGAUCAUACGAACGGUGGGUGCAGAUGGAAACGAGAAGCCAUCUAAGGACUCGUAAUGGGCUCCUCAACACUUGGAAGUUGGGUAGAGGAAGAAGACCGCAUGAGGGCAGGAUCCUGAAUGUUCCACUCACUGCUAUAUCCCUAGCACUGGUUACAGUGCUUGGCACACACUGCAUGCUCAAUAAAUUAUUUGUUGCCCAUAUAAGUGAACGUGAAUUCCAAUGGACUAGCAUCUUCCACUCUCAACAUAAACAAAAACAACAGCAACAUUGCAAUUCCCUAUCUUCUCUUCCCUGAUCUCUUUCUCAUUCUGUCUCUCCUUCCCUUUUCCUCUGCCUUCCUGUUGCCUUCUCUGAUAUGAGUUAAAUUUAUCAGGGGUGUCCAGGUACCCGGCUAUUCUUGAGCAUUCCUUAUCUGGCUA
rnacentral:lncRNA from 1 species